rnacentral:rRNA from 1 species
GUGAGGAAUAUUGGUCAAUGGACGAGAGUCUGAACCAGCCAAGUAGCGUGAAGGAUGACUGCCCUAUGGGUUGUAAACUUCUUUUAUAAGGGAAUAAAGUGAGGGACGUGUCCCUUUUUGUAUGUACCUUAUGAAUAAGGAUCGGCUAACUCCGUGCCAGCAGCCGCGGUAAUACGGAGGAUCCAAGCGUUAUCCGGAUUUAUUGGGUUUAAAGGGAGCGUAGGUUGACAUAUAAGUCAGCUGUGAAAGUUUACGGCUCAACCGUGAAAUUGCAGUUGAUACUGUAUGUCUUGAGUGUACAAGAGGUGGGCGGAAUUCGUGGUGUAGCGGUGAAAUGCUUAGAUAUCACGAAGAACUCCAAUUGCGAAGGCAGCUCACUGGGGUACAACUGACACUGAGGCUCGAAAGUGUGGGUAUCAAACAGGAUUAGAUACCCUUGUAGUCC